rnacentral:rRNA from 1 species
AGCGAACGCUGGCGGCAGGCCUAACACAUGCAAGUCGAACGAACCUUUCGGGGUUAGUGGCGGACGGGUGAGUAACACGUGGGAACGUGCCUUUAGGUUCGGAAUAACUCAGGGAAACUUGUGCCAAUACCGAAUGUGCCCUUCGGGGGAAAGAUUUAUCGCCUUUAGAGCGGCCCGCGUCUGAUUAGCUAGUUGGUUGAGGUAAUGGCUCACCAAGGCGACGAUCAGUAGCUGGUCUGAGAGGAUGAUCAGCCACAUUGGGACUGAGACACGGCCCAAACUCCUACGGGAGGCAGCAGUGGGGAAUCUUGCGCAAUGGGCGAAAGCCUGACGCAGCCAUGCCGCGUGAAUGAUGAAGGUCUUAGGAUUGUAAAAUUCUUUCACCGGGGACGAUAAUGACGGUACCCGGAGAAGAAGCCCCGGCUAACUUCGUG